ensembl:lncRNA
CAGACACGAGCAGACGGCUCAGACAGGAGCCGAUGGCUCAGACACGCGCAGACGGCUCAGACAGGAGCAGACGGCUCAGACAGGAGCAGACACGCGCAGACGGCUCAGACAGGAGCAGACGGCUCAGACACGCGCAGACGGCUCAGACAGGAGCAGACGGCUCAGACAGGAGCAGACACGCGCAGACGGCUCAGACACGAGCAGACGGCUCAGGCAGGAGCAGACGGCUCAGGCAGGAGCAGACGGCUCAGACAGGAGCCGACGGCUCGGACAGGAGCAGACGGUUCAGACAGGAGCAGACGGUUCAGACAGGCGCAGACGGCUCAGACAGGAGCCGACGGCUCAGACAGGAGCCGACGGCUCAGACAGGAGCCGACGGCUCGGACACGAGCAGACGGCUCAGACAGGCGCAGACGGCUCAGACAGGAGCAGACACGCGCAGACAGCUCGGACAGGAGCCGACGGCUCGGACAGGAGCCGACGGCUCGGACAGGAGCAGACGGUUCAGACAGGCGCAGACGGCUCAGACAGGAGCCGACGGCUCAGACAGGAGCCGACGGCUCAGACAGGAGCCGACGGCUCGGACACGAGCAGACGGUUCAGACAGGAGCAGACACGCGCAGACAGCUCGGACAGGAGCCGACGGCUCGGACAGGAGCAGACGGUUCAGACAGGAGCAGACGGCUCAGACAGGAGCAGACGACUCAGACACAAGCCGACGGCUCAGACAGGAGCAGACGGCUCAGACACGAGCAGACGACUCAGACACGAGCAGACGGCUCAGACACGAGCAGACGGCUCAGACAGGAGCCGACGGCUCAGACAGGAGCAGACACGCGCAGACGGCUCAGACAGGAGCAGACGGGUCAGACAGGAGCCGACGGCUCAGACAGGAGCCGACGGCUCAGACACGAGCAGACGGCUCAGACAGGAGCAGACGGCUCAGACAGGAGCAGACACGCGCAGACAGCUCAGACAGGAGCAGACGGCUCAGACAGGAGCAGACGGCUCAGACACGAGCAGACGGCUCAGACACGAGCAGACGGCUCAGGCACGAGCAGACGGCUCAGGCAGGAGCAGACGGCUCAGGCAGGAGCAGACGGCUCAGGCACGAGCAGACGGCUCAGGCACGAGCAGACGGCUCAGGCAGGAGCAGACGGCUCAGGCAGGAGCAGACGGCUCAGACACGAGCAGACGGCUCAGACAGGAGCAGACGGCUCAGACAGGAGCAGACGGCUCAGACAGGAGCAGACGGCUCAGACAGGAGCAGACGGCUCAGACAGGAGCAGACGGCUCAGACAGGAGCAGACACGAGCAGACGGCUCAGACAGGAGCCGAUGGCUCAGACACGCGCAGACGGCUCAGACAGGAGCAGACGGCUCAGACAGGAGCAGACACGCGCAGACGGCUCAGACAGGAGCAGACGGCUCAGACAGGAGCAGACGGCUCAGACACGAGCAGACGGCUCAGACAGGAGCAGACGGCUCAGGCACGAGCAGACGACUCAGACAGGAGCCGACGGCUCAGACACGAGCAGACGGCUCAGACAGGAGCAGACGGCUCAGACAGGAGCAGACACGCGCAUACGGCUCGGACAGGAGCCGAUGGCUCAGACACGCGCAGACGGCUCAGACAGGAGCCGACGGCUCAGACACGAGCAGACGGCUCAGACAGGAGCAGACGGCUCAGACACGAGCAGACGGCUCAGACAGGAGCAGACGGCUCAGGCAGGAGCAGACGGCUCAGGCAGGAGCAGACGGCUCAGGCACGAGCAGACGGCUCAGACACGAGCAGACGGCUCAGGCAGGAGCAGACGGCUCAGGCAGGAGCAGACGGCUCAGACAGGAGCAGACGGCUCAGACAGGAGCAGACGGCUCAGACAGGAGCAGACACGCGCAUACGGCUCGGACAGGAGCCGAUGGCUCAGACACGCGCAGACGGCUCAGACAGGAGCAGACGGCUCAGACAGGAGCAGACACGCGCAGACGGCUCAGACAGGAGCAGACGGCUCAGACACGAGCAGACAACUCAGACAGGAGCAGACGGCUCAGGCAGGAGCAGACGGCUCAGGCAGGAGCAGACGGCUCAGGCACGAGCAGACGGCUCAGACACGAGCAGACGGCUCAGGCAGGAGCAGACGGCUCAGACAGGAGCAGACGGCUCAGACAGGAGCAGACGGCUCAGACAGGAGCAGACGGCUCAGACAGGAGCAGACGGCUCAGACAGGAGCAGACACGAGCAGACGGCUCAGACAGGUGCAGACGGUUCAGACAGGACCUGACGGUUCAGACAGGAGCAGACGGUUCAGACAGGAGCAGACGGUUCAGACAGGAGCAGACAGGAGCAGACACGAGCAGACGUCUCAGACAGGUGCAGACGGUUCAGACAGGAGCAGACGGCUCAGACAGGAGCAGACGGUUCAGACAGGAGCAGACGGCUCAGACAGGAGCAGACGGCUCAGACAGGAGCAGACGGCUCAGACAGGAGCAGACGGCUCAGACAGGAGCAGACACGAGCAGACGGCUCAGACAGGUGCAGACGGUUCAGACAGGACCCGACGGUUCAGACAGGAGCAGACGGUUCAGACAGGAGCAGACAGGAGCAGACACAAGCAGACGGCUCUGACAGGGUUAGAUAACUCUCUAAAAGAAACAUAUUUAUAA